rnacentral:rRNA from 1 species
GAUGAACGCUGGCGGCGUGCCUAAUACAUGCAAGUCGAGCGAACGGACGAGAAGCUUGCUUCUCUGAUGUUAGCGGCGGACGGGUGAGUAACACGUGGAUAACCUACCUAUAAGACUGGGAUAACUUCGGGAAACCGUAGCUAAUACCGGAUAAUAUUUUGAACCGCAUGGUUCAAAAGUGAAAGACGGUCUUUCUGUCACUUAUAGAUGGAUCCGCGCUGCAUUAGCUAGUUGGUAAGGUAACGGCUUACCAAGGCAACGAUGCAUAGCCGACCUGAGAGGGUGAUCGGCCACACUGGAACUGAGACACGGUCCAGACUCCUACGGGAGGCAGCAGUAGGGAAUCUUACGCGAAGGGCGAAAGCCUGACGGAGCAAAGCCGCGUGAGUGAUGAAGGACUUAGGAUCGUAAAACUCUGUUAUUAGGGAAGAACAUAUGUGUAAGUACCUGUGCACAUCUUGACGGUACCUAAUCAGAAAGCCACGGCUAACUACGUG